rnacentral:lncRNA from 1 species
GGGGAACGGGUUCGGGACCAGCCGAUACAAAAGUUUCCCUAAACCAUGAGACUUGCAGUUAAUCCACCGAAUGCCUUUCGAUCGGUCGCGUUUACUCCUCCAUGAUGAAAAGCCGUGAUCCAUGGGAAUUCCGUCACAUACCAUCAGAUUAAUAUUUUGUACUUAUAUUAUGGCUUCUGUAAAUGCCUAUUAGAAGUUUGGCUCUGACCCUCCAACCCCUUGCUUUCUUUUGUCCAAGGAACGGGUGCAUACUUGAACAACAAAAGCACAAUUAUAGUGUAAAUGACUUGGGAUAACAGGGUUUGAAAUGCCCAGGGCACUACAAAAGAUUACAAUUUUUCAGACUUGAGAAAAUAAUUGUUUAUUUAUUUAUUUUUGUGUAUACGAAUACACUGUAGCUGUCUUCAAACACACCAGAAUCGGAACCCAUUACGGAUGAUUCACCAUGUGGUUGCUGGGAAUUGAACUCAGGACCUCUGAAAGAGCAGUCAGUGUUCUUAAUCCUUUGGAGCCACCUCUCCAGCCCGGCUCGAAAUUUAAGAAAAAAAAAAAAGUCUAUCCUUAUUAGGAAAAAAAAAAUCCUUAAAACUAUGCUUCUUGGUUUGUUUUCUUGGCGGAAUGAUAAAACACUCUGAUCCUGACGGGACAAUGGAGUAAGGUAAUUGACUGGCGAAGGAACUUGCGUCCAAGCCCAAGUUCCAUGGCUAGGACUCACAAGGUAGAAGAGGAGAGAACCAACCCCAGCAAGCUGUCUUCUGAGGUCUGCACAAAUGCCUUUGAACACAAAAUAAUAAAUCUAUUUAAAAAUUUUAAACACUUUGAAAAAACAGGAUUAAGUGUUCAUUUCAGCUCACAGCUCCAGGUCUGUCAUGACGGGAAGUCGAGAGAGCAGGAGCUUGGAAAUGUGCUCACACUGUGUUGGAAGACAGGCGGCAGCCAUGAAUGUAGCUGCCAGUGAUCAGGCCUCUUCUCCACCUUGUACAGUCCAGGAUCUCCAGCCUGGGAAACAGUCGUGUCCAAAACGAAGAUGGGUCUUCCCACAUCAGUUAACACAAUCAAGAUAACGGCCAGGCCUCAAAGGCCAGUCUGUUAUAUCAUUCUUUCAAGUUCACAGUUAAAAACAAUUCGUGCAGCUCUGCUGCUUAUCAGCCUGACACCCAACCUCAUUAUUUUUAGGCAAUAACCGUCCACCUUUGCCCCAAAAGGCUCAUAACCAUGUCAUAACGUGAAAUGUAUUCAGUCUAACUUUGAAAGUCCCCAUUGUCUUUAAUGACUAUAGCACUUUAAAAUUCCAAAGACUUGGGUCAUAAACAAGUUACAUACUUCCAACACAUAAUGGUACAGAAUAAGAAAUCCUAUUCAAAAAUGGAAGACCCAGGAUAUAAUACUGAAUGAAAUGGAGACAUGACCACUCCUGGGUGUAAUUGAGGAGAAGGUUUUUAUUGCAGAUAUGAGAAAGAGAACAACCCAGAGGCAUCUGGAAGAGUCCAGACUGAACAUGGCCAGCAGAAUAGACAGGACCAUGAAAGGAGCUGGGGUAGAGAGAGAGGGAGGAAGAAAAGAGGGAGGGGCAAG